UUUUUUCUUUUUUUUUUUUUUUUUUUUUUUAAUUUUUUCAUGAUAGGCACACAGUGAGAGAGAGAGAGAGGCAGAGACACAGGCAGAGGGAGAAGCAGGCUCCAUGCACCGGGAGCCCGACGUGGGACUCGAUCCCGGAUCUCCAGGAUUGCGCCCUGGGCCAAAGGCAGGCGCCAAACCGCUGUGCCACCCAGGGAUCCCAAUUUGUAGGAUUUUAAAGGCAGAUUAUUCCCAGCAUCACUUAAUGCCAGGAUUAAACACACCCUAGUAAUCAUUCUCCUGAGAGCAAUCUAGAGUGUGCCUGUCUACACUGACAUAUUACUAAGAUAGUAUGGCUUUUUAUCCAAAGUGGCAAAUCUUCUAAAAUACUUGAAAACACUGUAGAACACUUUAUAUUCAGACUGAAUGUGAGGUAAGUUGUUCCUUUUAGCAAAGGGCUUAAUUUGGGUCAGAAAUAUAACAGAAUACAUGAAUAAACAAAGUUAGUUCUAGAAAAAUAAAGAAAUUGGUUACUUUUAUUUCCUGAGGGGUCCAAGCAUUUUGUGGAAUGAUUAGAAUUGAGCAAAGACUUAAAGUUCUCCUCAAGAGCAAAUUAGAAAAAUGACUGUGUGAAUGAACUUAGGAUAUCUGUACUCUCUGUGUGACGCUGUGCAGUUUGCUUUUCUAGAGAAGGGUGUCACCUAUAGCCAUACCCAAUAAAAUAAAAACUGAUGAGGCAUGCAUCUUUCGGCACAUCUUUUUAUACAUGAAGAAAUUAAACGCGGUUUAGUAUUGCUAUGGUGUUGAGAUACUUGAGAAAAGAUGUCCAUAUCCAAGUGUACAAAAUCCCUUUAAUAAAUUGUAUUUUCUUCUUAUGCCUUCUUAAAUAACCGUUUCAUCAUCAUAAUAAGUUGCUGUUAUUUACUGAGCUGAUGCUAUAGCACCUGGAUCUAAUCAUAUCAACCUUAUUUUGCAAAUGGAAAAAAUAAGAAUUAAAGAAGGAGAUGAGGGUGACUGGGUGACAGGCACUAAGGAGGGCACUUGAUGGGAUGAGCACUGGAUGUUAUACUAUAUGUUGGCAAGUUGAAUUUAUUUUAAAAAAAUUAGAGAAUCAAGGUCCACAAAAUAGUUAUAUUGUUAUAUGGACUGCAUGAGACUGUCUAAGUCACUUUACCUGUGUCUGAUUGGAGGAGUUCUGCAUCUAAGAUAAUUUAUAAAUAAUUUUAAAGGGAAGCUUGUCCACAAUUUACUGCUCAAACGUGUUAUGUCUCAUGUGUCUUUUGCUGGGAAAAGGCCCACAGAUGCUACCUUUCAGAAAACACAUGGCUUCUUUGCUCUAAUUCUCAGUACAAGUAGACAACAGCUAGUCUCCAUCCCUCCCCAAGCAUUUGGAUGUUUCCUGUUGCUGGAGGGUCAGAUUUGUUCUCUUCCACGGGAAAAUGACAGAACGUCUUCAUCUUUCUCCUCCUGCUUUUUCAUAAUCUUUGACUUGGUGAUUUGGCUCCACCAUUCACUUUCAUGCUCACCAACCCUCCUCAGCCACUGAUGGCUGUUUCAUGUUGUUCUUUACUAUAUUUUCCCACAACCCAAACGCAGAGAUGCAAUUUCUAUCUGUUCUUUGGUUUGGGGGUUUAAGGCAGACCUUGCUGAUGAAUUCACUGGAUGUUUCAAGCAUAAACGUACUACAGCGUGGUCAAUGAGACCAUGUAUCGUAAGCAUCUGAGCCUGAGAUUGUCAUUUGGGGUCUCUGUUAUGUUGUCCCCAAUUUCAUGUUUGGGGAUUGCACUACUUUGUUCCUAUCAGAGUGACUCCCAAUUACUUGUUUUCUUUUCUGGACUCCAGGUUUUCUGCAACUGUUGGUGUUAAAACUGAAUGACAAAUUCUUUUUUUUUUUUGAAUGACAAUUUCUAAUGAAAAACUGCCCACGCCAAAUAGAGAGGGAAAAGCUUAGCUUGCAGUUUGCUGUUCACAAAUGUUCUUAACUCCUUGGCUUUUUAAGCAAUUGGGUGGCUUUUUCUUGGAGACUGGCCCCAUUUUUUCUCAGCUCUCUGGUCCUGUGCAAUUCUAGAAUCCUAAAUAAAGUGCAUACACCGUGGCUACUUGAACAGCAAACACAGGGAGGGUUUUGAUUAAAUAUAAAACCACCAAGGAUGAAAAUAAGGUUAGGCCCAUUGAAGCUGAGUGUGUCCAGAGAUGAACUGCUUAGAACCGAGCCUCCAUUUGUUUCACUUGGGUCUCUCUGUGUCUUCUUUCCUACUCAUUUUAAUUCUUCCACCUCAGUUCUGAGUCUUGUAUGUGACUUAGCACGCUGUAAAUUGGAAAGAGAUCAGCUUUCAAUAUCAUUCAACUUAAAGAUCAUUUCAAAACUUAGGAAACGUUUCAAAACACACUUCUUAAAUUUUUUUAAGUUUUAUUUAAGUAAUCUUGACCGACCACCCAAUAUGGGGCUCGAUCUCACAACCCCAAGACCAAAAGUCACGUGCUCUCCUGACUGAGCCAUCCAGGUGCCCUCAAAACACAUUUUAAGAUGGUCUUAACUUUUACCAAAAAGCUUAGGAAAAAUUAUACUAAGUAUAUGAACUUAGAAAAAGAUUUAUUUUCAUUCAUCAUAUGACUGAAGACCCAAUUCCAAAUAAAAAGCUAUGUUCUCUUACAGUUUCACAGAUGAAAACGAAGACUUAGAAAAAUCUCUAAAUGUGUAGUCUAUAGAUGUGUGUAUAGAACAAAGAAAUCAGAACCUUGAGGGUGGGGGGGACGGGGUAACUGGGUGAUGGGCACUAAAGAGGGCACAUGAUAGAUGAGCACUGGGUGUUAAUUCUGUAUGUUGGCAAAUUGAAUCAAUAAAAUAUUUAAAAGAUAGUUAAUUUAAAUAAAUCAGAACCAUGAACUGUGCAAUCUGAGAUGGUGCCUUCAAUGCUGUUUGCUGCUGAGGAGCAAUAGUCUGACUCUCCUUAACACCUCCACUUGUAACUAACUUCUGGCUGGCUUGAUCAAACUCUGUUCCCUACAAGCUAAUCACAUAAAGGUGCCAAGAUCCUAAAGAAUGGCAGGUCUUUUUCUCCAGAAAAUAGCCUUUUUUAUAAAUGAUUUACAACUGACACAGUUAACAUGGAAAUUCUGCAGGCUCUUUUAUCUAUCAUGUAACUUCUUAGCAAAAUCCUAACAGGAUCAUGACCAGAAAACCUAAAUAAACAGCCCCAGCAAAAAAAAAGAAAA
rnacentral:lncRNA from 1 species